GAUGAAGAACGUAGCGAAAUGCGAUAAGUAAUGUGAAUUGCAGAAUUCAGUGAAUCAUCGAAUCUUUGAACGCACAUUGCGCCCGUCAGUAUUCUGGCGGGCAUGCCUGUUCGAGCGUCAUUACGCCCCUCAAGUCCCCUGUGGACUUGGUGUUGGGGAUCGGCGAGGCUGGUUUUCCAGCACAGCCGUCCCUUAAAUUAAUUGGCGGUCUCGCCGUGGCCCUCCUCUGCGCAGUAGUAAAACACUCGCAACGGGAGCCCGGCGCGGUCCACUGCCGUAAAACCCCCCAACUUUUUAUAGUUGACCUCGAAUCAGGUAGGACUACCCGCUGAACUUAAGCAUAUCAAUAAGCGGAGGA
rnacentral:misc_RNA from 1 species